rnacentral:rRNA from 1 species
GGACCAAGGAGUCUAGCAUGUGCGCGAGUCAUUGGGACUCUAACGAAACCUAAAGGCGCAAUGAAAGUGAAGGUCCGCCUUGCGCGGACCGAGGGAGGAUGGGAGGUCUCGAGGGACCUCCUCGCACUCCCGGGGCGUCUCGUUCUCAUAGCGAGAAGAGGCGCACCCAGAGCGUACACGCUGGGACCCGAAAGAUGGUGAACUAUGCCUGGUCAGGACGAAGUCAGGGGAAACCCUGAUGGAGGUCCGUAGCGAUUCUGACGUGCAAAUCGAUCGUCGGAACUGGGUAUAGGGGCGAAAGACUAAUCGAACCAUCUAGUAGCUGGUUCCCUCCGAAGUUUCCCUCAGGAUAGCUGGCGCUCGCAUCUCGCGAGUCUCAUUCGGUAAAGCGAAUGAUUAGAGGCAUUGGGGUCGAAACGGCCUCAACCUAUUCUCAAACUUUAAAUGGGUGAGAUCUCCGGCUUGCUUGAACUGUGAAGCCGCGAGAUAUCGGAUCAGAGUGCCAAGUGGGCCACUUUUGGUAAGCAGAACUGGCGCUGUGGGAUGAACCAAACGCCGAGUUAAAGCGCCUAAAUCGACGCUUAUGGGAUACCAUGAAAGGCGUUGGUAACUUAAGACAGCAGGACGGUGGCCAUGGAAGUCGGA